GAUGAACGCUGACAGCAUGCUUAACACAUGCAAGUCAACUGUGGCGGACGGGUGAGUAACGCGUAAAGAACUUGCCUCACGGAUAGGGACAACAUUUGGAAACGAAUGCUAAUACCUGAUACUGUGAGAGAGCUUUGCGUCCCAUUAGCUAGUUGGAGAGGUAACGGCGCACCAAGGCGAUGAUGGGUAGCCGGCCUGAGAGGGUGAUCGGCCACAAGGGGACUGGGACACGGCACGUAGUGCUACGGGAGGAAGCAGUGGGGAAUAGUGGACAAUGGACCAAAGUAUGAUCCAGCAAUUCGGUGGGCAAGAUGAAGUUUUCGGAAUGUAAAGUGCUGUCAGUUGGGAAGCGGUACCAACAGAAGAAGUGACGGCUAAAUACGUGCCAGCAGCCGCGGUAAUUC
rnacentral:rRNA from 1 species